UGCCAGCAGCCGCGGUAAUACGUAUGUCGCAAGCGUUAUCCGGAAUUAUUGGGCAUAAAGGGCCGUCUAGGCGGUUUAGAAAGUCUGAUGUGAAAAUGCGGAGCUCAACUCCGUAUUGCGUUGGAAACUACUAGACUAGAGUAUUGGAGAGGUAAGCGGAACUACAAGUGUAGAGGUGAAAUUCGUAGAUAUUUGUAGGAAUGCCAAUUGGGAAGCCAGCUUACUGGACAAAUACUGACGCUGAAGCGCGAAAGCUAGGGGAGCAAACAGGAUUAGAUACCCUGGUAAGUCC
rnacentral:rRNA from 1 species